AUAACAAUUGACUAUAUACAAAUUCAUUUUCUAUUAACCGAUAAGUUGUGCAAUUCCCAAAGAACAAAAAAAUUAUUUGACAUAUAAUGACAUACAGUCAGAAACGACAACACAAAUCAUCAACCCAUGCAUGCAACUUGUUGCUCAACGAGGUGAACGAUCCAGAAGAGACUGAUAACUGCAAUAAUGGCCCUGCUUGGUUACCCCGCAAAACUUUGCAUGAAAUUUAGCCUAAUUUAAUAUGCUUGAAACUCUUGAUAAUUAGUUUUAUGAACAAAAUUUAUGCAAAACUUUGGUGUUAUUUCAAAAGUGCAAAAUUUUUACACCUUUCUCUAAUAAACUUAGUAGGGGACCAUCUAUGAUUAUCUCAUGUUUAUGCAAGGUUUAAGUGGGGGACCAAUAGGGUUUAAGGUAAAAUAGGUGGGGGACCAUUCAAAUCAAAGAGUAAACUUAGGAGGGACCACUCUAACUAUAGAUGGGUAAAUAUUUGCCUUUUUUGCAGCCCAAACAAGCAGGGCCAAUAUAUAAAAGAAAUAUUGCUUGUCAGAAUAGAUGAUUUAGUCCAACGAUCUUAUUUUCUUUCAUAUUUACUUAGCUAAUUUCAUGGUGGGCAAUACGCAAAACUAUAAUAUAUAUUAAGGAAUGUGUGUGUUACGUAAUACUAGUGUUGUAGGAACUUGCGACUCUGAUUUCACAUACCUAAUUUCUUCACCAUGCAAGAUCUGCCAACUCCUUUUAAUAUCAGAUAUAGAAUCUUCAGCUGCAAGAAACUUUAAAAUGACGUUCCAUUUCAUAAAAGUCGCAACCAAUAGUAAGCAACGCAAAUUGAUGUGUUCGAACACAAAAUAAAAUAAUGGAAAAAGGCAAAUAUCGCCUGAAAUCCAAUUACCGCCAUUUUACUGUCAUCAAAAGAAUAAGAAGAUAUUGAGAAUAAGGAACCACCAUUAAGUGCAAAUCAGAAGUAACAAAAAACACUGAUCUUGAGUGCAUUUUAAUAGGGUCUGCUUCAUUGAAGUGGUUAGCUUCAAAUGCACCCAUUGUUUGUUGAGAAACACCAUAUCCAAGUGUUAUCAAGUAAAUUGAUACAUACUAUACAAUGAUCAUUAAGUAAGAAAUUCCAUUUAUGUAAUCUACUUGCCAGACAGUACAACCUUCUGACCCUGGCAAAAUUAUCAUCAAAGCAAAGGAAAAAAGAUAUCAUCCAAAAUCCAAAGUGUACCUUCAGUUUCUCACAAUCAUUCACCAAAAAGUUUAAAGGCCCAAUGACAUUCAGGACUUGUGAUUCAAGUUUAUUAUCCUCUUCUUUUGAUUAAUAUUUUCUUUGUAACCUUUGACAUUGCCAUAAACUACCUUCGUAACUAGCAGUCCACCUUUCUCUUAUUGCUUGUUUCUCUUCCUAUUGCCCACACUUUGUAGUAAUCGUUAAGCUUUCUCUGCUGCUUCCCUUGCCUCUCGACCUGCAUAAAUAAACAUAACAAACCUAAGUUUCAACUGACUGCAAGGGUUUCUACAUCCAACAGAAGGUCCAAUCCACCAUUUUUCGUAGUAUAUUAUUCACUCACUUCAAGUAAAAUGACAACAUAUACCUCAAAACAUAUUUUUCUAUGUUGCUUUACAAAACUACAUAUACUUGACAUGGCAGAGUAAUCUAGUAGCCAACAUCUUCCAGCAGAUUAACAGUUAAAAGUGCCUAUAGGAUGAUCAAGUAGAGUACAUUGACGAAAAUAUGUCCAAAACUAGUAAUACAACAACAUGCAUUUGCUACAUCAUUCAUAGUAUAAAAAGGUUGAUGCAUAAAAAGGUUCUGAAUACCUCAUUCAUAUUAAUAAAAACAUUUCGCUAAUAAGCAUUCAAAUUUGGAAUCCAUAACAAUUCAAUUUUAAUAGCAGAAAAAAAAAUCUAUGAAAAUAGAAAUCAAAUAUGGGAGCUGGUAUGUAUAGAUCACUAUGUUUGUGUCUUUAAGUCAAGAAAAUAAAAAUUAAAUACAAACAGAAUUUUUGAGGACAAGAAUUAAACACGAGAGCCAAACAAGUAUCCUCCUGAUAUUAAUCAAUAAUGAUAAUAAAAGCUUUGUGCACUUUGUAGACUACGACAAAGAUAAUUAUGUUUGCUAAGACUAAGAUUGCAGCUGAGAUCAUAAGUGUAUAUGUGGGUGUUGUUGUACAUUUUAACUCGAUGCAAAAAAGUUAAGUACCUCACAAGUAACAAGUCACUGGAACGAGUUGGGCCUUUUUCGAGCCAAAGUUGUAAUUCACCAAUUCUACAAGAUGAUAAAACAAUACAAGUCAGUGAUUGAUUCAAUAAUCGAAUUGGUUUAAUAAAAAAAAAAAAAAAAAAAGGUCAGAAACUAUUGUAGAAGAUGAAGAUAAUGGAGAUACUAGGCUAUGGAGUGCAAUUCUAUCAACAAGUUACCAUCCCAUGUCCAUGGGAAACCUCUGACUCUGGAAUUAUCAAGCUCAAUGUGGUACCAUAUCUAGAGAGAUAGCUGGUUAUGGAGGGAUCUAUGUAGGAGAAAGGAAGGCUAUAUGCCAGCGUGUACUUGUAAUUAUUUAACCCUUUGUUAAUACAAAAUACCCGCUUCCUUUUGCAAGAAAAAAAUAAAUAUGCUGGGUACAUUAAUUAGACAAAGAGCAAAUUUUUGGCAGUCGUACAAUGGCCACUAGCACAACUGCUACAUCAUGGAAACUGCUACAUAACUGUGCAGUAACAAAGGAAAAGUUGAAGAAGAGAGGUGUGCAUAUGGCAUCAAUGUGUGCAGUUUGUAGGCA
rnacentral:lncRNA from 1 species